UGGGGCCACCCUUUUUAAUAAUGUCCCUAAACUAGUAUAAAACAAAAGGGUCAAUUAUUCCGUGUUCACUGGAAACUAAUCCCAGGAAAACAAAAGUGAGGUUACUCCUUUGUUUUCUUUUUUUUUUUCCUUAUCAACUUAGAAAAUCAAAAUAAACCUUAAGAGAAAACAUGAGGUGGCACCUGGAGUACUAGUACUCGACUUCUUCUCCUUCUCUCGACAUCCACGAAUUCAUUAGAAGAGGAAGGGAAGAAAGAAUUUUUAUGAUAAUUUUGAAAUAAUCUUUGAAGGGUGUUUUCAAUAACCUAAAGUUGGAGUUGAAUUUUAAAAGGUAAAUUCUCUACCCCUUUCUUGAAUUUGACUAUAAAUAAGUAUCUUGGAGAUGUUUAAUUUGUAUCUUUGCACUACUACUUGAAUUGGGUUCGUGAAUGAAAAAGGGGGAAAAUGGAGAAUUUUGUUUAAAGAGGGGCUUUUGGGAAUUUCUAUAAAUUGAGUGGUUUAACAUGGAACUAUAUAAGUUGAAAAGUUAAAGGAUUCAUUUGGAAUGCUUAUUAAAGAAUUCGGUUGAUUUUGGGUAUGAUCGAUGAAUAUGGAACUAAACUAUUAAAUGUUCCUAUAAGUUACUAAUGAACGCAUAUGUUAUUCGUGCAGUUAGUGGAUUGCCUUUUUGAUAGUGAAACUUGGUGGUUGGAAAUAUAAAAACUAUACUCCCGCGUGUAGCGUCAUUUGGGGACCUGAAAUACCAUCCUACCUAGUGAAGUCUUUAGGCCAUAGUAUAUAUGUGGAUACCACAUGUAAGGAGUAAAAGUAAAUAGUAAUGGCAUAGUUGUAUUUGUAUAUGUUAUCUAGACGAUCAUUAUCAUAACUCAUAUGUCAUAGGCGUUUAAAGCAUUAUUUGGUAAACAUUAACGACGAGAGGAUACAUAGGUUUGGCUUGGCAUACCACUUGACGUGAUUCUGUGCACAAGAUCGAGAUCAGACCACUAUAGUGAGCCCAACCAUUGGACGUACCCGCCUUUGUGGCAUCAUUUACAUUUGGAGUCAGUUGGAACAUCAUGUAUUGGUUUUCCCUGACUCGAUCCAACAUAUGAAAUAUAUGGCCUGCGGGCAGACGCUCAUAGUGAGCCCCUAGAUGGGGCGUGCCUGGAUACAGACUGCGAUUACAGUUAUACAUGUGGGAUCAUAGCAAUGAGUAUGUGAGCAACAUAUGCUUUAUACUUGCCUUAGAUUGCCUUCGGAAGGCCAUCUUGUGAUCAUUUGUAUGAUUUAUAGGAUAAGUGCAUCGCUUAGACAAAGUAUUGGUUCUAUAUUAUAAUGAACGUUUUUCUAAAUAUUAUAUAUGAUGCUAAUAAAAUUGGUGCAUAAGUUAUUAGUUCAUAUUGUAUAGGUGUUAUUUGUUGGCCCAUACAUUUUUCACUUUACCACUUGACUCAUAUGAGCUUCUGUAUUUGUCUAGCCGUUAUUCUGUCUGCUUUUAACCCGGUACAUGUUGUUUAUGUACUGACGUCUUAGGCCUACUAUGUUUUAAUAAUGCAGGCUCCGAUCCUCCUGAUAGAAGACAUCCACGUUAGGCUCUCUUGCCGUUUUCAGUUGAUAUUUUGAUGAGCUCCAAUUCCCUCUGGACAGAUCUCUGGUUAGGCAUGACGGGCCUAAUGACAACUAGUCAUUUGUAGUAUAGUGUGUUAAACUGACUAGAGGCUUCAUGGAUAUCAUGUAGUAUUGUAUAGUUUCGUUAAUGUAAAUCUCCCGUGUACAUAUGCAAUGCUUAUCGAAUAUCCUACUCGUUAUUAUCUUAUAACCUCGCGUACGUCGUAAAGUACUUGUAGAGUAAGUGUAUACAGUUCUUGUUCGUCAUUACCAUUUUGGGGCUGACAAACUUGGUAUUAGAGCACCUAGGUUCAAGUGUCCUAGGAAGUCUAUGAAGCCAUGUCUAGUAGGACUUUACUUAUCUAUGUGUUGCGCACCACAUUUAUAAUUAAGGGACUACAUGGAUAUUUAAGAAUUUGACCUUUAUAUAUAAUCUAGAUCGUGCAGUAGAGUUAAGUUAUAGGAAGACUUCUGACUCAUAUUCUGUUUAUUUGUGAUACAGACUAUGUCUGCUACAGAAAAGGAUAAAGCAGCCAGCAGGUCGCUACUACACUACUCAGGAGGCAACCACUACCUGGCUAUCUCCUGUAUUGGUGGAUCUGAAUAGGACUCAAGGAAGUUUGUUUGGUUCUAUGCUUCCAGGUUCUCAAACUCCUGGAACGAAAGGACUUACAGGGGUUUAUGCACCUCCAGUGGUGCCAAUGGUACUUCCUAUCUCGCCACCAAGUGCCUCAAACCUAGAUCUUAAGGGAGCAAUAUAGUUGCUUACACAAUUGGUCGCCGCUUAGGCCCAAAGACAGAGUGUGGAUGUACCUAUUGCUACUCAAGGAGGGAUAGCUGAAUUUAGGAUCAAAGAUUUCCUUCGUAUGAACCCACCAGAAUUCACAGGUUCUAAGCUUGCGGAGGGUCCUUAACAAUUCAUUGAUAAGGCUUAUAGAGUUUGUAAGGUAAUGCGGGUUUCGAAUACAUAUACAGUUGAAUUGGCCGCCCAUCGACUGAAAGAUAUUUUUGUUGAUUGGUAUAAGAUGUGGGUUGCCUCGAGAGGUCAGGAAGCUCCUCCAGCAGUCUGGCCAGAAUUUGCAGAAGCCUUCAUAGAUCAUUUCAUGCCAUUAGAGCUCAGAGAGGCGAAGGUGGAUGGAUUUCUAUCUUUAAAGUAGGGUAAUCUUAGUGUCAAGGAGUAUUGUUUGCGAUUUAUGCAGUUGUCAAAUAUGCUCCAGAGGUGGUUAGCACACAAGUAAAAUGGAUUCAUUGCUUUGUGAAUGGCCUUGCGGGUCCCUUAAAGGACCUUUUUUCCAUUGCUGCUAUGAAUAAGGAUUUGGAUAUAGCAAGGAUCAUGGCACGUGCCCAGAAGAUAGAGGAAGAUCAACAUAAUCUUAAAAUAGAUAGUGAAAGGGAGCAGGGUAAGAGAGCUAGGAUGACCAACCAGUAUCAGGGAAGCGGUGGAGCUACCACUAGUAGAGGGCCACCUAGGCAAACCCAGUCAACUGUGCACUCCACAUCUAAUGCUCCAAAUUAGUUCUUGAGGCAUAGGUAUGAGCAGAUCCAGACUUCUAUAUCACCAGACUUACGACCAUAGAGGGGCGUCAGUUAAGGGUUACCACCUCGACCUACAUGCAGGCAGUGUGGCCAACCACAUAGAGGAGAGUGUCAGCAUGGUUUAAAUGUGUGUUACUGAUGUGGUAUAGAGGGUCAUAUAGUACGUGAUUUCCACAACUCAGAGGUAAAUGUAGAGGUGACUGACCACAACCUAUAGGGUCUGCAUCAGCUUCAUCUUCAUCAGUGCCUUCUUCUUCUCCCAGUCCUCAGGCAUCAGCAGACAGAGAAUCUGGUAGAGACAGAGGUCCUAGUUCGAGUGCAGGCCGAAACCAUAUGCAUGAAUUAGCUGGUCGACAAGAUUCAUAGGCAUCUCCAGAUGUGGUCAUAGGUACCUUAGCUGUCUUUUCAUAUGAUGUAUAUGACCUGAUAAACCUAGGAUCUACGUUGUCGUAUGUUACUCCAUUUGUGGUUAAGAAGUUUGGAGUGGAGCCAGAGUUAUUGCGAGAACCAUUUGUGGUAUCAACUCCAGUGGGAGAUUCUAUUAUAGCUAGAAGGGUUUAUUAUGAUUGUGGGGUGACAGUAUGUAGUCGUGCUACAUUGGCUAAUCUGAUUGAACUUGAAAUGGUUGAUUUUAAUGUUAUUAUAGGUAUGGAUUGGUUAUCCUCUUGUUAUUCUACAGUUGAUUGUCGAGCCAAAAUAGCUCAUUUCCACUUCCCAGGAGAGCCAGUCUUAGAGUGGAUAGGUGACUUUAUGAUGCCUAGAGGGAGGUUUAUUUCCUUUUUUAAGGCACGAAAGCUUAUCGCAAAGGGGUGUUUGUAUCACCUAGCCCAAGUGAAAGACAUUGAGGCAGAAAAACAGGCUCCAACUCUAGAAUCUGUACCAGUGGUGAACGAGUACUCAGAUGUGUUUCCUAAUGAACUUCCUGGAUUACCUCUUAUUAGAGAGAUAGAUUUUGGUAUUGAUGUGGAUCCCAGUAUGCAACCAAUAUCAAUUCCACCUUAUAGAAUGGCGCCUACAGAAUUGAAAGAUUUAAAAGAACAGUUAAAAAACUUACUUGAUAAAGGUUUCAUUCGGCCCAGUAUAUCACCUUGGGGUGCGCCAGUGCUUUUUUAUACAAGAAAGAUGACACAUUGUGAAUGUGUAUAGAUUAUAGACAGCUGAACAAAGUGACAAUAAAUACUAAGUGCCCUCUCCCCCUAAUAAAUAAUUUAUUCAAUCAAUUGCAGAGAGCUAAAUGCUUUUCAAAGAUCAAUUUGAGGUCUGGUUAUGACCAGUUAAGAAUUCGUGAAGCAGAUAUUCCCAAAACAACCUUUCAGACAAGAUAUGGGCACUUUGAGUUUCUUGUCAUGUUAUUUGGGCUAACGAAUGCACUGGAAGCCUUCAUGGACAUGAUGGAUAGGAUUUUCAAACCCUUCCUUGAUAUAUACGUGAGUGUAUUUAUAGAUGAUAUUUGGAUAUAUUCACGUAAUUAAGUUGAGCAUGCAGAUCAUUUAAGGUCGGUAUUAUAGAGGCUCGGAGAGCACCAGUUAUAUGCUAAGUUCUCUAAGGGUGAGUUUUGAUUGACCUCGGUAACCUUUCUUGGUCAUGUGGUAUCUGGAGAAGGCAUCUGAGUAGAUUUUUAGAAUAUAGAAGCUGUGAAAAUUGGCCUCGACCAACCACUCCUACUGAGGUGCGUAGUUUCUUGGGGCUAGCAAGUUACUAUAGGAUAUUUGUGGAGGAUUUUUCCUCUAUAUCUGCCCCAUUGACCAAAUUGACACAGAAAGCAGUUAAGUACCAGUGGUCAGAUGCUUGUGAAAGAAGUUUUCAAGAGCUGAAACAUAGAUUAACUACCGCGCCAGUGUUAGCCUUACCAGACGGCAUAGAAGGAUAUGUGGUGUACUGUGAUGCUUCAGGUGUUAGUUUGGGUUGCAUCCUAAUGCAGCAUGGAAGAGUUAUAGCGUACGCUUCUUGACAAUUAAAGAAGCAUAAAUAGAACUAUCCCACGUAUGACUUAGAGCUUGCAGCAGUGGUAUUUCCACUACAAAUUUGGCUUCAUUAUUUAUAUGGAGUGCAUAUUGAUAUAUUUACGGAUCAUAAGAGUCUUCAAUAUCUAUUCAAGCAUAAAGAGCUAAAUCUGAUACAGAGGAAGUGGCUAGAGUUAUUGAAAGACUAUGAUGUCAAUAUUCUCUAUCAUUCGGGCAAGGGUAAUAUUGUAGCUGUGCUCUUAGUUAACUAUCCAUGGGUAGUCUAGCACAUCUGCCACCUGUUCAAUGGGAAGUAGUGAGAGAUGUUCACAAAUUGGCCAAUCUGGGCGUUCACCUUAUGGAUUCUGAAGAUGGUGGCGUUGUCGUACUUAAUUCAGCCGAGUCAUUGCUUGUGGCAUCAUUUAAGCAGAAGUAGUAUGAUGAUCCCUUAUUGUUCCAGUACAGAGAGGGAAUUCAACAACAUCAAGUCAUAAUAUUUAAGUUAGCAAGCAAUGGUACUUUGAGGUGUCGAGGCAGAUUAUGUGUACCUGAUGUAAACGGGUUGCGAUAACAGAUUAUGGCUGAGGCACAUUGCUCUCAUUAUUCAAUUCAUUCCGGCUCUACAAAAAUGUAUCAUGAUCUUAAAGAGAUCUACUGGUGGAAUAACAUGAAGAAAGAUAUAGCAGAAUAUGUGGCACAUUACUCUAAUUAUCAGCAAGUGAAAGCGGAACAUCAAAGACCCGGUAGCCUAGCUCAAACCUUUAGUAUUCCUGUAUGGAAAUGGGAUGCUAUUAAUAUGGACUUUGUUGUAGGCUUACCUUUUUUUUAUCGGAAACAUGACUCUAUUUGGGUAAUAGUUGAUCGAUUGACAAAAUCAGCCCAUUUUCUUCCUGUUAAAUCUACCAGCACGGCUGGAGAUUAUGCCAAGUUAUAUGUAAAAGAGAUUGUCCAUCUACAUGGGACCCCAAUGUCCAUUAUUUCAGAUAGAGGUUCCCUGUUUAAAGCUCAGUUUUGGAGAUCAUUCCAUAAGAGCUUAGGUACGCAGGUGAACCUUAGUAUUGCAUUUCAUCUUCAGACAGACGGCUAAGCUGAGCACACCAUUCAAACGCUCGAAGAUAUAUUGAGAACGUGUGUGCUAUAUUUUAAAGGUAAUUGGGAUGAUCAUUUUCCUUUGAUAGAAUUUGCUUAUAAUAACAGUUAUCACUCUAGCAUUGACAUGGCUCUAUUUGAAAUUUUAUAUGAAAGACGAUGUAGAUCGUGUAUUGGUUGGUUCGAAGUAGGUAAUAUAUAGGUAUUGGGUUCGGACCUUGGUCUAUCAAGCCGACAAAAAUGUUAAACUGAUACGAGAGUGGUUAAAGACUACCUAGAGUAGGCAAAAAUUGUAUACGGAUGUACGAUGUAGAGAUUUUGAAUUUCAAAUUAAUGAUUUCAUGUUCUUGAAGGUGUCUCCUAUGAAAGGCAUUAUGAGAUUUGGUAAGAAGGGUAAGUUAAGUCCCAGGUAUAUGGACCUAUAGAGUUAUUCGCAGAAUUGGCCAAGUAGCCUAUGAGCUAGAAUUACCUCGAGAGUUAGCUGCAGUGCAUCCGGUCUUUCAUGUGUCUAUGCUACGUAAAUACUUAGGAGAACGGUAUCUAGUCAUCCCUAUAAAGGGGAUUGAGUUGUACGGAGACUUAUUAUUUGAGGAGGUCCCCGUGUCUAUAUUGGUUUGGCAGGUCAAAAAGUUGAGAACUAGAGACAUAGCUUCAGUAAAGGUGUUAUGGAGGAAUCAAAAUAUAGAAUAAGCCACUUGGGAAGCAGAAAAGGAUAUGAAAACUAAAUACCCUUAUUUAUUUCCAAAACUAUCAAAAGGUUCUUAAACUAUGUGUCGCUUUAUGUGAUCAUUAGCUUCUACUAUAUUUUGUUCUGUUGAUAUCUGAUUCUUACCUGAUAUAUUUAGGUACAUGAUUUAUGCCUAUGAGCCUUGAGAUUUACAUGGAAACAACAUCCAGAUGCAGAGUAUAAGGUAAGUUAUGACUUUUUAAUGGUGUUUAAGGCCAAAAGGAGCCUUGUGUACUAUUGUUUUUGAGUUUAAGGCCAAGUGGAGCCUUUUAUGUUAUUUGUUGAAUAUUAUAUGUGUUGUGACGCUCUGUGAAGCGCAUUUGGAUGUAUUCUGGCUAGCUGACAGGUACCCGAUAGUCCUAUUUACAAAGAAAACUCUGGCGAAUUUUUGGAAAUUUAGGUAGUUAGUCAAAUUUAAGGCCUUGCGAUGGAUCAAGUGAGGACCGAAAUUGAUUAAAUGAUCUUAGAAUACCUUGGAUAGUUAUGGAAUGGAAGUUAAGGUACUAUCAUCAUUCGAGGAUGAAUGAUCCUAAGUGGGGGAGAUUGUAGCACCUCGAGAAAAAAUUUGAAUUAACAACUUGAAUUAAGUAGAACUUUGACUUAUAAAGAUAAUUACGGUACAAAAGAAAAGCAAAUGGAAUAGAACACAUAUAUACACAAUAUUUGUAUGUUUUUGCAUUUAAGAGGAGGAUUUGAAAGUAUUGUUAUUUAUGUGAUACAAGUGUACAAGUUGUGGGGGCCACCCUUUUUAAUAAUGUCCCUAAACUAGUAUAAAACAAAAGGGUUAAUUAUUCCCUUGUUCGCUGGAAACUAAUCCCAGGAAACCAAAAGUGAGGUUACUCUUUUGUUUUCUUUCUUUUCCUUAUCAACUUGGAAAAUCAAAAUAAACCUUAAGAGAAAACAUGAGGCAGCAGCUGGAGUACUAGUACUCGACUUCCUCUCCUUCUCUCGGCAUCUAUAAAUUCAUUAGAAGAGGAAGGGAGGAAAGGAUUCUUAUGAUAAUUUAAAAUAAUAUUUGAGGGGUGACUUCAAUAACCUAAAUUUGGAGUUGAAUUUUAAAAGUUAAAUUCUCCACCCCUUUCUUGAAUUUGAAGUAUCUUGGAGAUAUUUAAUUUGUAUCUUUGCACUACGACUUGAAUUGGGUUCAUGAAAGAAAAAGGGGGAAAAUGGAGAAUUUUGUAUAAAGAGGAGCUUUUGGGGAUUUCUAUAAAUUGAGUGGUUUAACAUGGAAUUGUAUAAGUUGAAAAGUUAAAGGAUUCAUUUGGAAUGCUUAUAAAAGAAUUAGGUUGAUUUUGGGUAUGAUCGAUGAAUAUGGAACUAAGCUGUUAAAUGUUCCUAUGAGUUACUAAUGGACGGAUAUGUUAUCCGUGCAGUUAGUGGAUUGCCUUUUUGAUAGCGGAACUUGGUGGUAGGACAUAUAAAAGCUAUACUCCUACGUGUAGCAUCAUUUGGGGACCUGAAAUACUAUCCUGCCUAGCUAAGCACUAAGGUAUGUAAAGUUAAACCUUUCCUUGCUGCUAAGGCACCACCCAACGUCAUGUUCUCCUUUCCAUUUGAUGUUAGUAUAAUUCUCAUAAAAAAUGAGAGUGGAAUAUCUAUAUUGCCUUACAUAUACUAUCAAGCUUAUAAGUAUCUAUCUUUCCCUCUUUAUGUUAAAUUUCCAUGAUACUUUCAUAUUAUCAUAAGUUUCUAUACUUGAAGCCUUUAGGUCAUAGUAUAUAUGUGGAUACCACACGUUAGGAGUAAAAGUAAAUAGUAAUGGCAUGGUUGCAUUUGUAUAUGUUAUCUAGAGGAUCAUCAUCAUAACUCAUAUGUCAUAGGCCUUCAAAGCAUUAUUUGAUAAACAUUAACGAUGGAAGGGUACAUAGGUUUGGCUUGGCAUACCGCUCAACAUGAUUCUGUGCACUGGAUCGAGACCAGACCAUUAUAGCGAGCCUAACCAUUGGGCGUACCAGCCUUUGUGGCAUCAUUUGUAUUUAAAGUCAGUUAGAACGUCAUGUAUUGGUUUCCCCUGACUCGAGCCAACAUAUGGCAUAAAUGGCCUGUGGGAAGACUCUCAAAGUGAGCCCCUGGGCGGGGCGUACCUAGAUACAGACUGUGAUUACAUUUAUACAUGUGGGAUCAUAGCAAUGAGUAUGUGAGCAACAUAUGCUUUAUACUUGCCUUAGAUUGCCUUUGGAAGGCCAUCUGUGAUAAUUUGUCCGAUAUAUAGGAUAAUUUCAUCAUCAUGACAAAGUAUAGGUUCUAUAUUAUAAUGAACAUUUUUCUAAAUAUUAUAUAUGAUGCUAUGGUGCAUAAGUUAUUAGUUCAUAUCGUAUAGGUGUUAUUUGUUGGCUCAUACAUUUUUCACUUUACCACUUGACUCAUAUAAGAUUCUGUAUUUGUCUAGCCGUUAUUUUAUCUUUUUUUAUACCGGUACAUGUUGUUUAUGUACUGACAUCUCAGGCCCACUAUGUUUUAAUAAUGUAGGCUCCGAUACUCUUGAUAACGGACGUCCAUGUUAGGAUCUAUUGCCGUUUUCAGCUGAUAUUUUGGUGAGCUCUAACUCCCUCUGGAGUCGGUUUAUGCCUAGUAUUUUUUAUUAUAUGUACAAAUCUAUAGUUAGGCAUGAUGGGCCUAAUGCCAACUAGUCAUUUGUAGUAUAGUGUGUUAAACUGACUAGAGGCUUCAUGGACAUCGUGUAGUAUUGUAUAGUUUUGUUAAUGUAACUCUCCUAUGUACAUAUGCAACAUUUAUCGAAUAUCCUACCC
rnacentral:lncRNA from 1 species